rnacentral:rRNA from 1 species
AGUGAACGCUGGCGGUAGGCCUAACACAUGCAAGUCGAACGGCAGCACAGUAAGAGCUUGCUCUUACGGGUGGCGAGUGGCGGACGGGUGAGGAAUACAUCGGAAUCUACUUUUUCGUGGGGGAUCACGUAGGGAAACUUACGCUAAUACCGCAUACGACCUACGGUUGAAAGCAGGGGAUCUUCGGACCUUGCGCGAUUGAAUGAGCCGAUGUCGGAUUAGCUAGUUGGCGGGGUAAAGGCCCACCAAGGCGACGAUCCGUAGCUGGUCUGAGAGGAUGAUCAGCCACACUGGAACUGAGACACGGUCCAGACUCCUACGGGAGGCAGCAGUGGGGAAUAUUGGACAAUGGGCGCAAGCCUGAUCCAGCCAUACCGCGUGGGUGAAGAAGGCCUUCGGGUUGGAAAGCCCUUUUGUUGGGAAAGAAAAGCAGCAGGUUAAUACCCCGCUGUUCUGACGGUACCCAAAGAAUAAGCACCGGCUAACUUCGUG